GCUCAAUGUCAGAGCAGACAUCAUCAACCGCAACUUUAGACGGUGAUGCUCUGGCCAUUGGGUCCUGUAGCGAGUCUUUGCCACCUGGUUUUUAAAGAGGACAUCAGCUGGGAGCUGACUUAAUCUAAAGACUGAAAGGGAAGAAUUAGAAGCCUGACAGUGAAGAUUGCCCAGACUGAC